rnacentral:misc_RNA from 1 species
UGCUCGGUGGCAGCCUCGCU